rnacentral:tRNA from 1 species
UAGAAAGUAGUAUACUGGUAGUAUUGAAAGUUUUGGGCUUUCUGGUCCAAGUUCGAGUCUUGGCUUUCUAGGG